rnacentral:lncRNA from 1 species
AGGAGAAGAUCUGGAUUACCAAUGAAAUCAUACACAAUCCAACUGUUAAUAAGGUCUUAAAAAAAAUUAAAAUGAAUACUGCUUCUCUAAUAUUUUCAAUUUAGAUAAUUUUUUUUGCCCUGUUGUUUGUUAAGUUGUUCAUUUGUUCUUUUUCGUGGUUAUGGAUUGUAAAGAGUAAAUCUGUAUUGAUGAAACUGUUAUGCUCUUUGCUUCAAUCAUGAUUUGAUCCUUUCAUUAUUAUAUUCUAGUAAAAUGAUUACUGAGGCUCUUAAGUAUACAUGGCAGCGGUUGGAGGAGAUGGCAGUUCAAAAUAUACCUGUUGAGGAAGGAAAGAAGCAAUUUGAUGUGGUAAAUAAGGGUGAUGUUGUGGUUUUGCCUGCAUUUGGGGCUGCAGUUGAAGAAAUGGUGACUCUGAAUAACAAGAAUGUACAGAUUGUUGAUACAACUUGCCCUUGGGUGUCUAAGGUACCCUUAGCUGAGACAGAUCAGCUGCUAUUAUGAUUAUUCAUUUGCCUGUUUAUAUCUUCAAUCCCUCUUCAUGUUACAUAUUAUAUAUAAGUUUUAAAAUUUUUGUGAAGGUCUGGACUUCUGUGGAGAAGCACAAGAAGGGAGACUACACUUCAAUUAUUCACGGUAAAUAUUCUCAUGAGGAAACUGUAGCAACUGCAUCGUUUGCAGGAAAGUAUAUCAUAGUCAAGAAUAUGAAAGAGGUAUGUUCAGAAGGUGGAUUAUAUUCUCUUUUGCGGAGAAUCUGUAGAGCAAUAUUAGGAGAUAUUCAUUCGAAUGUUUUUUUUCAAUUGUGAUUUAAUCCAGGCUGAGUACGUGUGUGAUUACAUUCUUGGGGGUGAACUUAAUGGAUCUAGCUCAACAAAAGAAGCAUUCCUUGAGGUAUGAGUUUUGUCGCUUAUUUGACUGUGAAUGUUGACAAUUUUUGGGGAGUUUUGCAGAUAUUGAUAUAGUUAUUUGCUGGCCUACAGAAAUUCAAGAAAGCUGUUUCAAAAGGGUUUGAUCCAGAUGUUGACCUGGUAAAAGUUGGCAUUGCAAACCAAACUACAAUGCUCAAGGGUGAAACAGAAGAGAUUGGUUAGUUGCACUAAUGCUGAUGUCAACCCAUCUGUUUCCAAGAAAGUUUUGGCUUCUGAUAUUUAAGCAAUUUUCAUUGUUCCAGGAAAACUAGUCGAGAAGACCAUGAUGCGUAAAUUUGGGGUUGAAAAUGUCAAUGAACACUUCAUAAGCUUCAACACAAUUUGUGAUGCUACACAAGUAAUUUCUUUUCCUAACUCAUCGUUUUUCCUUUUCAGAUUUUUAUAAUUUUGUGAGUGAUAGCACUUCCUGUCCACUGCAUGUGUCUUAAUACUCCUAAUAAAAACCUGGAAUGUUGAACUACGAAUGCUAAAGCUAACAACAUGGUUGACCAUUUGUUUUCGAUGACCAAACUGCUCCGCCAGCAAUAUUCAGCCACUGGUUAAACUGCAAGUUGUGUACCAUUUUGUUGUGUUCAGUAAAAUAUAACCUAAUGAUUUUGGAUUCAAUUUUUGCAGGAGCGACAAGAUGCAAUGUAUAAGAUGGUUGAGGAAAAGGUCGAUCUUAUCUUGGUUGUUGGUGGGUGGAACUCGAGCAAUACCUCACACCUUCAAGAGAUUGCAGAAGACCGUGGAAUUCCCUCAUACUGGAUCGAUAGUGAGAAGAGAAUAGGCCCCGGAAACAAAAUAGCAUAUAAAUUGAUGGUAUGUGUGAACAUAUUGAAUUUUACUUGCAUCAACAGAGUAAUUUUCAAGUUUCAAAGUUUCUUUAUUAAUUAUCUGCGCAUCGUUAUCUUGUAAAUAGCAUGGUGAGCUGGUGGAGAAAGAAAAUUGGCUGCCGAACGGCCAGAUCACAAUCGGUAUAACAUCCGGUGCCUCCACCCCAGAUAAGGUAAUUUCUUCUGCAUAAAAUUUCUAAAUAGAUUCUUGCUUACCUUGAUCUGAUUUUUUCAUUCUUGACUUCUAAUUUACCAUGCCAUAACUAAUUACAUCAUUUUCAUCCGCUGGUGGUGAAUUUUAUAAGCUGUUUGAUAAGAUUGUUAUUAUUUUCCUCUGUGUUUUAUCCAGGCUGUUGAAGAGGUCCUUAAAAAGGUAUUCGAGAUCAAGCGUGAAGAAGCCUUGCAAUUAGCGUAAACUGAGGUCCAAACAUACACAUUAUCAAUAAAUUUCGAUGUGAUUGUAUCACUAGAUAUUGUAAAAUUAUAAACACAGCCCUCUGUCGGGUCUUUUAUUAGUGCCCAUCUAAUCUGAAAUUUAUAUUUUUGUGUAAUAUGAAGCUAGAGAUUGCAAUUUCUAACCAGCAGGAUAUUUAUUGUAAAACUCCAAUGAAAUCACAGACAAGAUUGGACAAUUACUGUCUUGUUGAACAAAAGGAGAGUAAAAAGAAUAGCACGCUUCAGAACAAAAGGAGGAAAAAGAGUAGCACGCUUCAUUGAAAAAUUAAGCAUGCCUCCUGUAUCAAUCAAUUGAAAGAAUUUUGUGUACCAACGUCAUCCCCCUGCAGUAAACCUCCUGAUUCGAAUCAUCAAUGAUUUGUGUUUCUUCUGGUAAUGAAAUUUAUCAAUCAUCUACUUUUAACUUUUAUUCAAGUAGUUGCGGAUCUGGAGGACCCUCCAUCGUUUUCAGACGAUCCUCAGCUUCCAAAGCCUGGCAUCAUUUAACAAGUUUAUCAACAGAUUAACUUUGAUUAAAAUUCAGAAGCUAAUGUCAUUCUUGGUACUGAGUCCUGCAGAAUUGUACAUUGAAUUACAGAACCUUAGAGCUUUUGUAAGAGAAACUUAAUUUACCUCUUUCUGCCAGUUAGUUUGAAGCAUCCGAAUCACAAGAACAGUUGUUUGAAAUAGGCAACCGAGCAACAAUCCUGACCAUAUGCCAUUGAUGCCAAGUUUAAAUCCGUAGCCCAGCAAGGCACCCGCAGGAAGUCCGAAGACAUAAUAACACGCUAUGCUUAUCAAUGCAACUAAAAACUGCCAGCCUGCGCCUACGGCCACCCCUGCAAUGUUAAAGAUUUUACGCAAAUAUGAUUUUAGACGCAAAUCUUGUACAACAUUUUUCUGAACUGAAAUGCUUAGACUGAGAAUCUGUCGAGCGUAGUAGCAGUUACCAAGGAGAACCGCUUGGAUGCUGUUGAGGAAGAUUGUUGCAGCUAGAAAAUAUGCAAGCUUUGACGUCUCCCUUAUGAGAAUUGGUUUGUCUGUGAACAAUUUGGGAAACUGGUUCUCGAAUGCCAGAACCAAAAGAGUAAAUAAAAUUCCAAAUGCUGCAGAUGUUAUUACUGACACCGCGAUUGAGAAUUUUGCAGCUUUUGGAUGUCCAGCUCCAAGUUCAUUAGACACCCGCACGCUUCAAGAGAAAUCAGGAUGUACUUUAAUGAAAGCAGCUAGAUAAAUACAUAAGAGAAUGGAUGAUAAAGUUAUGCCUUCUUUUGGGUAACAAAUUACGCACAUUCUCAUGCCUUCAAUGAUUUCAAUCGCAAAACUACUUUCUAAAACAAUGGAAUCAAAUUUUCUUCUACUACUCAAUUGUCAUUUGUUCUACGGUGUCAUUCAGUUAAAAAGUUAUAAAUCACUUAAAAUUAUUCCAAAGAAGCAGUGACUGACCUUAUUGCUGUAUGGAAACCUAAACUUAUCAUCAAAGUCCAUUGUUGCAAGUUCAUGCUGCCAAUUCAAACCAUGAGGAGGAAAAAUGAAAGAGGAUUUAGCAGGCUUAAUACAUAGAAACAUAAGAAAACUCACCAAAUCGAAAUGGCAUCUACUGCAAUUUCUGGAUUGUUUAGCCAUCCUACCAUGAGAAUAACUGCUGUGUAAUACCAAAGCUCCAAGCUGUUUGCACAAACAUGUUGUGUGUGUCAUGUCAAUAACGUGGAAUAUCCUAAAGCUCACUAAAUAACUCAAUUCGAAUAAUUAAUUACCAUAACAUUACAGCUGAUGCAAGUGAGAGUUUCACAAAACUAGCCAAUGACUUGAAAGCCCUCAAAGAAAAGCCUGUCCAAGCAUCUGGGAAACAUCCAGAAGUUACAUAGACUACUAGUCCCACGACCAUAAGCCACAAAGAAAUAUCCCCAGCAAUGGCUGCACCAACAAUUCCGUAAUUGAGCUUUGCCACCAGAAUCCAAUUUAAAAACACAUGAAAUAUCAAUGCUGCCAUCGAAAUCAUAGUCAUGACCCAAACUCUGCUUUGCGAUUGCAGAAAUUUCUGUAUUGGAGAGUUUAUAGCAUAAGCAAACAGUUGCGGAACUAUCCAUUUAGAAUACUUCCCUGCAAGCUCUGAAAUUUCCUUGUCUUGGCUUAGAAGCUUUAAAAAUGGCGUUGCAAAGAUAUAAAAAGGCAUUAGGCACAAAGCUGUGGCGCCGGUAACAAUGAAUGAUCUUUGCAAAUAAAUUCCAAGCAUAUCAAAUCGUCCAGCACCGACAGCCUGACCAGAUAGGGUCUCCAGAGCACUGCCCAUCCCCAGCUAAUUAACACAAAUUACACCCAAAAACAGAACAAUACCGAAAUCAGUUCAAAUUCAAAUGAAAUUUACCAUUUCUUAGAACAGAGUAUUAGCUUUCUAGCAAUCAAUUCUUCAGUUGAUAACCUUUCAAUCUCACAUUUCAUCUCAAGUAUGACUAUCAAUCAAAAUUAUUACUACAAUUUGUCAGAAUUUUUAGAUAUUACAAUCCUGAGUCUAUUAGGAGUCUGAAUUCAUACAUUUCUAUCACAACCCAAGAGCAUAGCUCAAAAUCUACACCAACUAGUGGCCAGACCUUUAUCUCAUACCAACACAGACAUAUAAACACCACUUAUCUAUCACAAUUCACACUCUCAUUACAAGUUUUACAUUCAAUGUUAUAAGUACAAGAUUUCACAGAACAUGUGUGACGAGACGAGUGUUGUAAGUUUUACUUCAUACGCAUUCACAUCGCCCCAAAAAAAAGGGAAAAAAAAUCAUCUAUACAGAAUUUGAAGUAAAUGAUUAGCUACUCACCAUGAUUCCAUAAACAAAGCCUUCAAUGACAUUUUGAACAACGGAGACGGCUGCAAAUUCAACUUCACCCAAAUGACCAACAAAGGCAGCGGUAACGAAGGUGAUAGAGAAUUCAGAUCCUGAGGCUAAAAUCACGGGGCCAGCAAUUUCCCAUAUCUUCUUUGAUUCAUUCCAGCUUCUUUCUCUGAAGUUUUUGUGACUGCCCAAGUCAUCAUCUUGUUCCCUUGUCUUUGUCUCUAUCUCAAAUGUCUGGCUCUUCUCCGCCAUUAAUGCUGCUGUCUCUUCCUCUGUUUCUUCCAUCAAACACCUCUCACCCUCGCUCACAGCCUGUAGUCUUUCUUUUAAUGAGUGUGAGGAUUUGUUUGCAGCUAUUAUUUGUGUGAAGAGUUUAAUAAACACACGUACGUUGCAUGCGCAACUUCCUCAUUUGUACAUUUUUUUCACAAUGAUUUUAAUUUUUAUUCCACAUAUACAAAGGGAGAUUGCCAAUUUCCACUAUUGUUCUUAGGGAAAUGGAUAAACACACCCCCAACGUUUAGGCAAAGGGAUAAAAAUUCCUCUAACGUUUCAAAAAAGACAUUUACACCCCAAUUUAUUAUAAUUUUACCAUUAUACCCUUUUAACAUAUAAAAAAAAUUAUUAGAUUAUCCAAUUUAUCUAUAUAUUGUUAAUAAAACUAUAAAUAGACAAGUUGGAUAUUAUAAAAAAAUUAUAAAUAUACCCCCAUUGCCCAAUUCCUCUAUUUAAAUUUUUAUCAAUAACCAUUUUUUUUAAAUCUAUACACCUAAAAAAAUUGUAAAUAAAUUAUAAUUUUAAAAAUAAAAUUGGUUAUUAAUAACCAAUUUUAUUUAAACUUUAAACUUGUAUAUUUAACAAUUCUCCACAUAUCAAUCAUUUAAACUUGUAUAUUUAUAACUAAUUUUCUAUGUUAUUUAUUAUGGUAUUAAUAACCAAUUUUAUUUACAAUUUUUUUUAAGUGUGUAGAUGUCUUUUUUGAAAAUUGGUUAUUGAUAAAAAUUUAAAUAGAAGAAUGAGGUAAUGAGGGUAUAUUUAUAAUUGUAUUAACAAUAUAUAGACAAAUUGGAUAAUCUAAUAAUUUUUUUUUAUAUGCUAGAAGGGUAUAAUGGUAAAAUUAUAAUAAAUUGGGGCGUACAUGUCUUUUUCGAAAUGUUAAGGGGGUUUUUUGUCCUUUUGUCUAAACGUUGGGGGUGUGUUUGUCCUUUUCCCUUGUUCUUAUUUUUAAAUACACUUUUAUUUAUAUUUAUUAUAAAUUAAAUAAAUCACAAGAAUGGAAAUGAAAAUAAAAAAAUUAAGUAUUAAAAAUAAGAAAUAUAUGUUUUGAUGUAAAAAAAUUAAUAAUAAAAUAUUUUUCUUGUACUUUUUACAUUCAAUUUUAAAAUAUUAUAAAAUAUUUAUUAUAAGAAAAUAUUUACAAAAUAAAAAAGUACGAGAAAAAGUUUAUUAUUAAUUUUUUUGGUUCAUAACAAAAUAUAGAUUUCUUGCUUUUAAUACUUAAUUUUUUAUUUUAAUUUCCAUUUAUGUGAUUUAUUUAAUAUAUAAUAAAUACAAAAAAAGUGUAUUUAAAAAUAAGGAUAAUAUUGUAAACUUAUACUGUCAGUGAAUUAUUGGUUAUUAUAAAAAUAAUAAGGAUAAAUGGUAUAUAUUAAUUACAGUAUGAGAAAAUUUGACAAAUUUUCCAUAUACAAAUGUAUAAAGUUAUUUACCCCUAACUAGCCCUCAAAUUAUAAUUAUUACGAUUUCGUAAUCCAUAUUUUCCAAGUAGAGUCUCACGAAAUCUUUCAUCUUUAUCUUCAAUUACUUAUGAAAACAACUUAAAUUUAUUAUGACCAUUUUUCAUUGGCUGUCCACAAAUUCUAUUAUCAAGAAUCGUGGCCCAGCUAAAUAAUUUUGUUUGGUUAACCGUUUUAGUUUAAAUCCUACAAAAAAUUGAUUUAGACAUCGCUCACACUUCGAUUCUUUUGAAAAAUUAAAUUGUUAGUGAGUAAAACUAUAUUAGGAGUAAAAUUAUAAAUAUAUAUAAUCAAUAAAAUCAUUUAAAAAUCAUCUAGUUAAAUUAUUUGGGACCACUAUACCUUAAUUAAUAAAUGUAAUCUAAUUUUAAAUUUAUAUCUUAAAAUGUGCGUACGUUUAAUAAACAUAUUUGGAGGUGUUUAGUUUAUGAAAAGAUGGUUGGUAGAAAUUUAUCAAGGACAAUGACAGGUAUCUAUAAGUUGGUAUCAUUAAAAGCUCCUUGAUUUGAAAAUUCAAACUUGGUAAGCUGUGAAUUCAAUUUUAUAACAAACAGUGAAUUUAUUAAGUGGGUACUUGAAAUCGGUUGGUUACUUUCUUUUUCGGUGCAACAUUGUUGGAUACAGAGCUUUUCUAAGCUAUAUCCACUUCUCAUUGUAAAAACUUAAGUUUUUAUUUUAUUUUAUUUUAAUUUUUUUAAUGUUUUCGUUCCUUUAUUAACCCAGCAUAAAAAAAAAGUGAGAAUGUCAAAUGAAAACUUAAGGUAUCAAGAAUGAAAAAUUUUAAAAGCAAAAGUUAUUUCAACAGAGAAUGAGAGAUGGCUGAAGCAUUUUUUUUCAAGUCUUGGCCAACUGUUAUUUGAUUCAUUGUAACAUAGUGGGAUUUGCCCUUAUGAAAUUGUUACUCAAGUUGGUGAUGAAGGAAUAAUCGUGAUAAGAAUAAAGCAAAAAGAGAAACGUAAUCAUAAAGAAUGGUAUAGUAUUCUAUUAAUCUUUCUGUCUUGAAGUUCAAAGAAUAAUGUAUGGUCAGUAUAAUAUUUGAUGAAUAAUAAUAAAGCUGGAAAUAAGGAAUACAAAUCAUAUAAUCUCAACACUAGGAUUUUUGAACUCAUAAACAACCAGAUAUUUUAUGCUUGCAAGUAUAAUUUCAACUCCUCUGCCAUACUGUUGAUUCUGUUGAUGAAUUGAGUUGCGAUCGCAGUGCUUCUUGCUUGUUUCUCAUAGAACCAAUAAUGAAUUAUACUUCCAAAAAUCGCAACUUCACCUGUGUAUGAGAUAAAAAACUGAUGCAAGUUGUGAGCAUUAGAGCACCAAAACCAGCAUACACGAUUGGUACUCAAGGGUCAGUCUGAAAGCAACCAACAAGGAUUCAUUCUAGUGUAAUUAAUUUAUAAAAUAGAUACAAUUACAAAUUGUAUUGUAUGCAUUAAAUUAAAAGUUAACUUCAGGUCAAGACCAGUACUCCCGAUAGCAUCUACAAUAACAAUUUUUGUGCCAUCAAUGUCAAUUGCAAGCUUAGAGUUAGGUCGUCUGACUCCUGCGAAUUUCCCUUCUUGUUCAUAUAUGACUAAUGAUUGCAGAUCACGAGCAAGCAUUGAUCUAAAAUUAAACAAGAUGGAAGAACAAACUACGCGCUCACUGAACUUCAAAAUUAUAGAGGAAGGAAAAGUAAGUACUGAAUUCUUGCCUAAAAUGUAAGUGUGAAAGAAAUACAUACCUUCCCUCCACAUUAGAAGAAUUAACAUCUCCAAGAGGUAAGAAAGUCCCAAACAGCUUUUUGUCUCCAUUGACUUUUAGAGGUGCCAUUGCCAAAUUGAAAGGUCCUUCAUCAUUCUUAAGUACCUGCAGUGCCGAAAAACUCCAAACCGUCUGAUAUAUCGUGAUCCCACCAUACCUUGAAGGGGCAAUUACACUUAUUGUUUUCUUCAUCACCUCCUUCCCCUCAAUGUCAAAUAGAGAAAGAUCACUGCGAAACUGCUUCACCAGUAAACCGGAAGAAAAACUUAAAAUGAAAGUAAAACAUCACAUUUGAACCAAAGAAUUUUUGGAGUUUCACAAGUUGGAUAAAAAAAGAAAUGAUAGUUAGCAGCAAAUCUUUAUGAAGAUCUUGAUCAGACCAUGCUUAUAAUGCACAAUACGUACCUAGAACUCCUUAUAAGGUCCCCCUUCCUUUAUGCUAGUUACUAGACAAGAAAAUUGAAACUCACCUCUCCACUAUCGUAGUGAUCCAUGUAGAAUUUAUUGACAUGAACCUCAGUGCUGAAAGCAUCAGUAGGAGUAGAAAGAAAUCCAUUUGGGCCUAACACUCACCCACGACAAAAUUCAGCACUUCUGGAAUCGUAACGGAACUCCUGAAGCUCCCAAUUGCAGUAGGAGUUCCACCUACCAUUGUCAGCAGCAUCGCCAAAUGUACUCCAAUAGGGGCAAAACCGACCAACGAGUGCUUUAAAGGCAUACAAGGACGGUCCUUUCAAGAGUACCUGUAAUCGCAAAAGGCAAGCAUAAUCAGCAGGAAAUCUUGCAUAUAAUGCAGCAAUGUACGAGGAACAAAAAUGAUAUGAGUGCUUAUUAUUGAAAAAAAAAAGUUACAGUCAAUGCACUAUGCAUUUAAGUGAGACAUUAGGAAUAUAAUUGAUUUUGUUCAAACAUAAAUUGGUCUGUCAUGAUGACUGCUGGUACCUAAAAUAAGUUUGUCAGUACCUGUUGAUGACUCAAAUACUAUUUAAUCUCCAAGGAACUUAGACUUUACAAGUAUUAACAAGUGAAAUCUCAAUUUCAUGAGUGUCAAUGAAUAAUGCUGUUAAAAAAGCAAGUCUACCCAGAAAAAGAACAUCAAAUAUUAUUUUUGCACUGAAUUGGUCUAUACAUAAAAAGUUUGGCAACUAAGACAAUUUUAAGUUUUAAAGAGUAAGAACAGAUGAAAGAAAACAAAAAAAGAAAGGAUGCAAAAUGACAACCUCAUAUCCUGCACCCAUUAGAAUAACACCGAAAAGUAAGAAAGGAUGCAAAAUGAUAAUCUCAUAUCCUGCAUCCAUUAGAAUAACACCCAAAUCUUGAAGAGAUGGUCUCGGAAGAGUACUUGAAAAUUCCUACUUUUCAGAUUGCCUCGGUAGAAUGUAAAAAACUCUAUCCGCAUAAAUUACAGAGUUGUGUCAACAGAAAGCUUAUCCAAAUCAUUUCCAUUGUAGCAAAGGAUUUUGGUAGAAUAACCAGACCUUUUUGCAACCUUAAUCAGGGUGAUUUGUGUAAUGUAACUGCAGGCCAUGAGUGAUAAUCCCAUUAUUUUGCCUCAAGUGAUAGAAUUCAACGGAUCAAAACCUGCGUAGGAUAGCUAGGUCUUAACCUUUGAACAUUCUCUUGUGAAAUAUAUUUACUUUACUAACUAAUUAGUAGAUGCGAUAUCUUUGAACUAUCAUGUCGUUUAUGUAAAUAAUAGUAUAUUUCACACAUAAGUUUUUCCUAAUACUUUUGAGUUCUCAUGGUUACGUUCAUUUUGGUGAUGAACAUCUACUUGGUUCCACAAGAAUUUAUAAGAAUUGAGCCAUAAACAAUUCCCUUUGAAGUUGCCUCACUUCUCUCUUAUAUUUGUGAUUUUUUAAAUCAAAAGUAGCCUUUACUUUGCUUGGAUUCCCAACACAUAAGAAGCCAUUAAAAGGAUAGCAUACCUUUUCUUUCUACAGGCAUCAUUAUUUUCAUCAUAGGGAUGGACAUGAGGCUAAUCCCUGCAGUGAUCCAACAAGGUAUUUUAUAAUUAAAUUGUCCCUUUGAACCUAGUUCUCGGUAUCUCCAGUCAGUUAAGUUGGGUUUUCUUUCAUAAAAUAAACAUUUUAUUCUUCAGGCUUUAGUCUCAUUCCCCUCAAUGUUUUUUUCUACUAACUAUCUAUUUAACACUUUGGUUAGUGGAUCUGCAAUGUUAUCCUUUGACUUUAUAUAGUCAAUAGAAAUAACUCUAGUAUAGAGUAGUUAUCUAAUGGUGUUAUGUCUAUGACGUAUAUAUCUAGACUUAUCGUUAUACAUAUUGCUACGUUCCCUUCCAAUUAUGGAUUAACUAUCACAAUAUAUGCAAAUUGCUGGUACAAGCUUUACCCAUUUUGGAAUAUCAUUUAAAAAAUUCCCUAGCCAUUCUGCCUCUUUACCACAUUUUUCUAAUGCGAUGAAUUCAUAUUCCAUUAUUGACUUGGCUAUCAUUGUUUAUUUGGAUGAUUUUCAUGAAACGACAACACCUGCUAGUUUAAACACGUAGCCACUGGUAGACUUUGAGUCUUUCACAUCAAAUAUCCAGUUUGCAUCAUUGUACCCUUCUGGUAUAACUAGAUAAUAGUAUAAUGUAGCUCAUAUUUACGAGUAUAGUGUAAGCAUAUGAGUACUCUUACUAUAGCUUUCCAGUGAUCGGCAAUUGGAUUACUCAUAUAGCUAGUAAGUUUGCUUACUGUAUAAACUAAGUUUGGCCUUAUACAACUUGUUAGGUACAUCAGACUGUUUAUCACUCUACAUUCUUCCACUUGAGAGAACCUUCACCUCUAUUCGUAGAUAGAUGCAAACUUGUAUCCAGAGGUGUUCUUGGCCCAACAUAAUCUUCUUUGUUGAAUUUUCUAAGAAUUUUAUCCAUAUAAUGUGAUUGAUUCAGAAUAAGUUUUUUAGACGUCUUUCAAAUUUUUAUUCCCAAAAUGACAUUUGCUAGAGCCGUGUUUUUCAUGUCAAAACUAGACUUCAACAUAUUAUUGGUAAAUAUGAUCAUUUUGUCAUCACUCCCAACAAUUAACAUUUCAUCAACGUAAAGACAUAAAAUGACAUAGCCAUUUUCUACCUUUUUGAUGUAUAUAUAUAUAUAUAUAUAUAUAUACAUACAUUAUAAAUGUUCAAAUCUAGAAUUUUAAAGUGUAGGAACGUCCGAGAAAAUAUAUAAAUCGUACGGUUUAAGCGCUUUAUUUCAUAUAUAUAUAUAUAUAUAUAAAAUGAGCCUCUUGUUCACUAUCUUGAAUUUCUUCUUGUUCUUGGUCCUCACUAUCUUCGUUGAUAGCCUCAUGUGUUUGUUUAAUCAAACUUGAAUCUUUCUUGAAUUUACAUGGAAACACAUGCUCAAAGAAUGAUGCAAUUUUGGAUUUUAUUAUUGUAUUCUUAUAAAUAUCUAGUGUGAUAUGCACUACUAUUAUGUGAAUAACUUAUGAAAAUGCAAUCAACAGUCUUUAUUUAUGUCUUUUUUUCUCUUUUUAUGAAGGAAUGACAACUUUAGCAAGACACCCCUACACUUGCAAGUAUUUGUAGGAAAAUACUCUACUCUUCUAUAGUUCAUACGAGUCUUUUUUGCUUCUUUUUAGGGUACCUUUUUAAAAGGAUAAAACAACUUCUCCCCACAUAUUCUUAGGUAUCCCAAAACUUAUUAAUAUUGCAUUCAUAAUUUUUUUGAAGGUAUGAUUUUUUCGUUUAGUAAUCUCAUUAAAUUAAGGCGACUAAGGAGCUGUAGUUUGAUGUAUGAUUCCAUAUUACUCAGAAAGUGACUUAAAUAGAAUAAUAUACUCACCACCUCUAUCAAUUCUCAACUCCUUAAUUUCCUUAUAUAGUUUAUUCUCAACUUCAUUUUUAUAGAGCAUAAAUUUCUCUAUAGCUUUGUUCUUGCUUUUUAUAUAUAGGUAAUAAAAUAUUUAUUACCGCACCUCGAUUCUAUGGAUUUAAAAUCAUAAUCACUAUGUAUUAAGCCAAGUUUCAAUUCCUUGAAAUGAUAACCUUAUUCAUUUUGUUUCAAUAGAAAAGUCACACUUAUGUUUCGUACCAAUUCGGAAAGUGGGUAUAUGAUUCAUGUUAAUUAACUUAUGCAAGGCAUUAUAAUUAACAUAUCCUAAUCUAUCAUGCCAUAAAUUAGAAAACUCAAGAAAAUAAGCAAAAGAAAUAGCUUUAUUAUUCUUUGUUUUUACAACUAUUACAUUCAAUUUGAACAGCCCAUCAAGUACGUAUCAUUUUCCCAUAUACAAUCCAUUUUUAGGCAAAAUUAUUUUAUCUGACUCGAACACCAUUCGGAAUCCAUACUUGUUUAAAAGCAAUCCAGAUACGAGAUUCUUGUGAAUUUCUAGCACGUACAAAACAUUGUUUAGAAUUACCUCUUUUCUAGAAGUCAUCUUUAGAAUCAUUUGUCUUUGACCUUCUAUCUCAAGCGUGGUUGAAUUCUCUAUAUAUAGCUUUUCACCUUUUCUAUUACAUUCAAAGAAAAUAAACAUUUCUUUUAUCUGAGCAUACAUGUCAAAUGGCAACAGUGUCAAUCCACUAUCUCUUAGAUUGAAGUGCACCAGAUCUACUUCAAAAACUACUCUAGAAAGAUUAAUGUCUAACAUAUCUUUUGACAUGUCCUCUACCAAAUUAGUUUCUCGAUGUCCCUUUUUCUUUGGCAAUCCACAUUCCAAAGCCUUGUGAUUCAUUUUAUCAUAGUUGAAGCAUUUCCUUUGAAAUUUGGUUUGCUUAUUGGAAAUCCAUCCUUUCGCACCUAGCUUGUUCUUGUUGGCCUUUCUAUUCCUAGUACUUUGACUACAUUCUAUAGCAUUGGCCUUAACCAUAGAAAUGACAAAUUUUUUUUUUUCAGUUGCUUCUUCAGCUUAAAGUUUGAUAAUUAGAUAUUUAAAAUUCAUUUCCUUUCUUUUAUGCUUUAGAUAACUCUUGAAAUUUUUUCAUGUUGGAGGCAGUGAGAGCAGCCACUUAAAAGUUUCAUUGAAAUCCAUCCCUUUGGGAUAAAUUUCUGCUAGAAUAAUUUGCUUGUCUUGAACUUGAUUUGUAACAAUUUUGAAGCCCAUUAUCUAAUAAUCUAGGAAGCAGCCUAUGACAUGACAAAUUUCUUAGUACUAGCAUCCUCAGUUUAUAUUUUCGCUCUAACGACUCCUAUAGCUCAGUGGCUUUUUUCUUUCCAACAUACACACUAUGUAAAGAAUUGCUCAAAGCCAUUCAACAUAUAAUUUCUACAAAGAAAAUUGGAAUGAUUCCAAGCAUUUAUUGCAGUAAUAAGAAUCUUCCAAGAUUUAAGGUGGUCAAGUAAAAGAAAAUUUUUUAUUGUUACCAUUUGAAGUUCUUUUAGUGAAUUUCUUAGGUUUUUUGCAUGAAGAAUAACUACAGAGACAACAGCACCAGUGCCAACACUAGCACACGAGAUAGUAGGAAGAGGGUCAAAAUUUCUCGUUUGCUAGCCCAUAUUAGUUGCCAUUUCAACAAAUAAAAUCUAUUAUAAGAUUAUUGUGUGUGUUAUUAUUAAUUAGCAAGCAAUAUAAGACUACCCACUUUGUAUGCAAAAAUAUACUAGUUAGGUUCUUAGAAAAAACUAGAGGGAUGAUAGUGGUUCCGCUUAAAAGCCAAACUCCUUGGGUAAUCUAUAUAGCCUUGAUGAUAAAACUUUUCUAAUGUACUUAAGAUUACUAAUAAGUCUCUUACACACCUAUCACAAUUUUAUAAUAUUAAUAAUAAAUUAAAUUGAAAUAGCAAAUAUAUAACAUAUAAAUCAACAAUGCCUAUAAAGAUAUAGUGUCCUUAAAAAAGAUUCGUCACUUUCGCAAUGGCGUUUAAUUAGAUUGGUGUAUGUGUCCCAAAAUACAAUGGAUCUAAAUAGUGUUGACAACAUAACGCCACUAUUCUAGCGAACUUUCAACAAAUAUUUGAAUUCUGUCACACUGAAGUCCAAAACUAGAAAUUAUUUGCUUAAGAGAGAAGAAUAAGAAUCACUUGGAUUUUUGGUGUAUUUUGCAAGUGAACACAAAAGCCAAUAUAUAUAGGUUUCAAAGGACAACUUUAGUUAGUUAAAAUUCUAUGUGGGAUUUUUUUGCAUUUCCCCAAACCAAUAAGUGCUUUUUAAGAUAAGUGCUUUUUAAGAUUCAAUUUCUGAUUCACUCAAACACCAAUUUGAGCAUAUAUGAUUUGUUGAAAACUUCACAGAGAAGAUUUCGAAUUAUCCAUGUAACUAUAUUUGUUUAAUAUUUAUUUUCUCAAAAUUGGUCUCAGAGUAGCUACCUUGUGCUAUUUUUUCUAACAAAUAUAAGUCCAACUCUGCCCAUUAACCCAUCAGAUUAAUGAGACCUUGCCAUUAAGCCAUCAAAAUGGUGAGGAGACCAGCUCUUCCCAUUAACUUAUCAAAAUAAUGAAGUUAGAGUUUUUCCUCAGAAAUUUCAUGAACUGAUAUCAAGUGUUUUCAAAGAAUCUAGAUUUCUCAAAAGAAGUUAGUAACUCACCCAAAAAUCCAUUACAAAAAAGGUAUAGAUCAUUGAGCUUGGUAAGUUUAACUUCCAAGUGAACAUGGAAUUUUUCCUUAAAAAGAGGAGAAUCUUAUAUCCAAGUAGGAUAAUGAUCCAAUAAUUUAUAUUUAAGGAAUUUUACUUGAAAACUUGGUAAAUGAAAGUCCCAAUCUCCAAGCAAAAUCCCUUUCUGAAAUUCUGGCAAGUAUACAGAGUGAUCUACAUUGAACAUAAGAUCAAGACAUUGAAGGUUGAGCAAUUGAAAAAUCUCUUCAGGAAAUUCACCUUGCAAAGAACAUUCACUGAGAGAUAAGUAAAUCAAAGAAGAUAAAUUUGCCAUUGCUGGAGUAACUGCAGAAGAAAUAUCGAUAUCGAUAAGGUAAAGUGCACUCAUGUUGGUCAACUUCUUAGCUAGAUUUUGUUAGACCUGGCUUUUGGACCUCCAUCUUGGAGAGCUCUAGCAACUCUGUUGGUACUUGACCUAAAAAGAAAGACAGAGAGAGAUCCAGAGAUGUUAGCUUCGAAAGUUUCAGGAUUUGAGAUGGAAUUUUACAUAGAAGGAAUGUAAAAUUGAUAGAACCAUAGAGGCAACUACUAGUGAGUUUAGCAUGAUCACAUGACCAGUGUCCUAAUGAUCACAUUCGAUGCCAUCCCAUGACCAACAGUCAGUAACAUUUCCUUCCUCCUGGCACCAGGAUUCAACCUUGGUAUAAGCUUAAGGAUAAGCAGAAACAAAGUUAUCAAUCACAAGGCUUUGUUUGAAUUGCAAUAAGGCAGAACGCUCAUCAUUACGGCACUGUCGGUGCAAAUGAGCACGAUAAUAACUAAUAAGAUAAAACAAUGAGAGCAAAACAAUUGCAUGCAUGCAAUUGAAGUGAGAUGAGAAUAACCCCCAUAAUGCUUUUAACACAAUAGGAUAUGAAAGCUUUCAGGAAUUUUCUUUAUAGGCCAUGCAUGGAACUGAGAUGAGGUUUAUAUCGGCAGUUCCAAGUGCAUCUAUUUUCUCCAAGUCAAUCUAGUUUCUUUUUCCACUAAUGUGAGCAGGUAUAAAUUCAAUAUAUUUUGUUUCCACUCAAGAAAUUUUGCCAACUAAAUUAUUGGCACCUAUAUAUAUUUGGGGUGGGUAAAAGGCUGAGCCGAAGCGAAAGUGUUUUAGAUAAAAAAAAAAAAAUUUUAUUUUUAGUAGUAAAAUAUAAAUUUACGAAUGCUUUAUGAUCAGUUAUGUUGCAGUAUAAGCUAGUUCUUAAAAAAAAAAAAAAUUUACAGUGUAAUUGAAUACGUGUCAGUUUUGAUAAUUUUUAAGAACAAUAAUAUCGAAUAUGAAUCUUCAUGCAAUUAAAUGUGUUGUAUCAUAAUCAUAAAAAGCGGAAUAUUUAACCCAACAAGAUUCAAACAUUUGAUACGUUAUUGUUAUUGGAGGAUACAAAUGUUGCUAAUCCCAAAAAAAGCCCCUAAACUUAUUUCUCUCUUUUUAACGUUUAACGAACUUUGGAUCUCGCGGGAAAAUCCCUCCAACGUGGCGACCUACAAUUGGCUACUCUACGUGUUUGAUUAAAGUCCGAUUCUAAUUUUGAGUUCUUGUGAGAUUUGACGAAAGAACUCAUCAUGUUAAGUAUGUCUUAGGAUUUAAUAUAGAUAAGGAAUCCUAGUCCUUGAAUGCUGCGGCCGGCAAGCAAAAGCAACGUGUUUCAUCAUCAUUGGCUCGACUACUAUAGCAAAGAACAAAGGACACAAACACUAUAAAUAGCUCGCCCCUUCAAGCUCGUUUCGCUCCACUUGAAAACAGAGAAAGCAGAGGAAACGCUUCAUAAAAGCAGCCAAAAAACAAAUCCAGAGAGAAAGCACGCGCAAAAGCAAGCAAAACAAUGAAGAUCAAGAACAAAGCAUUAGCUAUCUUUUUUCUCUUUGCUUUGCGUAAGAACUUUCCUCUUUCUGUUCUGCUAGAAGAAACCUUUAUCAUCGUAUUUGGUUUUGUUUAUGCUCUGUUCUUUUGGCCGAAUUUUACUCUUUUUUUUUUUUUUUUUUUUUCAGAUUUCUCGUCAGGUUUAGCUGCAGCGGAUGAUACUACAACGAAGCUAAAGACGGUGAUUGGCAUUGAUCUAGGGACUACGUAUUCUUGUGUGGGUGUAUACAGAAACGAUCAUGUAGAGAUUAUAGCGAACGACCAAGGCAACAGAAUCACCCCGUCAUGGGUUGCAUUCACUGAUACUGAACGUCUGAUUGGGGAAGCCGCCAAAAAUCAAGCGGCCCUCAACCCAGAGCGUACGAUCUUUGAUGUUAAGCGCCUCAUCGGGGGAAAGUAAGCAGUCACACUCCCUGUUUUAGUUUACGAUAGUUUAUUGUUGGUGUGUGUUUGGAGGCGAUUUUGUGCUUGUCUGGUAAUAGAGUUAAAGCUGUUUUUAAGUAAUUCUCUAAAAAAGCACUUUUAAACUCGCUUGUUUGCUUUUGAUGCUGUAGGUUUGAUGAUCCUGAGGUGCAAAGAGAUAUAAAGUUCUUGCCUUAUAAGGUUGUGAACAAAGGUGGCAAGCCUUAUAUUCAAGUGAAAGUGAAAGGAGAGACCAAGGUCUUUAGCCCUGAGGAGAUCAGUGCUAUGGUGCUUCAAAAGAUGAAGGAAACAGCUGAGGCAUUCUUGGGGAAGAAAAUUAAAGACGCUGUCGUUACCGUUCCAGGUACAUAUACAUAUUACCGUUCUUGUUCUGUACUGUUUGCAUAUCUUGUAUUGUAGUCUAAUGGGUGUUUUUUUUGAUUGUUGAUUUAGCUUAUUUCAAUGACGCGCAAAGGCAGGCAACGAAGGAUGCAGGGGUCAUAGCCGGGCUCAAUGUUGCUCGGAUAAUCAAUGAGCCCACAGCCGCGGCUAUUGCCUAUGGUCUCGACAAGAAAGAGGGAGAGAAGAACAUUUUGGUCUAUGAUCUUGGUGGUGGUACAUUUGACGUUAGUAUCUUGAAUAUUGACGAUGGUGUGUUUGAGGUUCGUGCCACUCGCGGAGACACUCACUUGGGAGGAGAGGACUUCGAUCACCGAGUCAUGGACCAUUUCAUUAAGUUGAUAAAGAAAAAGUACAGCAGAGAUAUAAGCAAGGACAACAAGGCUCUUGGGAAGCUUCGAAGGGAAUGUGAGAGGGCCAAGAGAGCUCUGAGCAGCCAGCACCAAGUGAGAGUGGAGAUAGAGUCACUCGUUGACGGUGUUGAUUUCUCGGAGCCAUUGACAAGAGCAAGAUUUGAAGAGUUGAACGUGGACUUGUUUAAGAAGACAAUGGGUCCUGUGAAGAAGGCAUUGGAAGAUGCUCGAUUGAAGAAAACUGACAUUGACGAGAUUGUACUUGUCGGAGGAAGUACUCGUAUCCCCAAGAUUCAGCAAUUGUUGAAGGACUUGUUUGAUGGGAAGGAGCCUAACAAGGGAGUCAAUCCAGAUGAAGCUGUUGCAUAUGGCGCAACAGUUCAAGGUGGGAUUCUUAGCGGCGAAGGGGGUAAAGGUAAAACAUCCACUAUUCUUUUUUUAAUCUUUUCUUUUAUCAGGAUGCAAUUGAAUAAUUAGAAUAGCAAAGUAUAAAAAGCUUUUUGUUUGUUACAGACCUGCUUUUGCUCGAUGCGACCUCCUUGAGUCUUGGUAUUGAAACUGUGGGUGGUGUCAUGACCACGCUGAUUCCCCGGAACACUGGUAUCCCCACUAAGAAAUCUCAGGUUUUUUCCACUUACCAAGACCAGCAAAGCACAGUGACUAUUAAGGUAUAACAAGUGAUGAGCAUGAUUACAUACGUGGCUAAACUGAUGCUGCACAUUCAUUCUUUCUACUUUUGGACUAACAUAAAAAUUAAAAUUCAGGUGUACGAAGGUGAAAGAAGCUUGACAAAGGGUUGUCACGAGCUUGGACGAUUCGAUCUAUCUGGCAUUCCACCUGCUCCAAGGUAAAUUACAUUUCAAUAUAUGCAUUCGAUUGGUUGAAGAUUGAUCUGGAUACUUAACAUGUUCUAAAUGUUGUUACAGGGGAGUUCCUCAAAUUCAGGUCACAUUUGAUGUUGAUGCCAAUGGUAUCCUACAUGUGACAGCUGAAGACAAGGCAGCGAAGAACAAGCAAUCCAUCACCAUAACCAAUGAUAAGGGCCGUUUCAGCGAGGAAGAGAUUCAAAGGAUGGUGAAGGAGGCUGAGGAAUACGCGGAGGAGGAUAAGAAUGCGAGGGAGAGGAUUGAUUCCAGGAACAAGUUGGAAAGUUACAUCUACAACAUGAGGAGCACCAUCAACGAAAAAGAUAAUAAUAAGCUUGCUGACAAGAUCGAUUCUGAUGAUAAGGAGAAGAUCGAGAGCACACUGAAGGAAGCUCUUGAAUGGUUGGAUGACAAUCAGAAUGCCGAGAAGGAUGAUUUUGAUGAGAAGCUGAAGGAGGUGGAAGCUGUAUGCAAUCCUGUGAUCAAAGAGGUUUAUGAGCUAAUGAAAUGAUGCGUGCAUGUUUUGGAAUUCAAGGUCAGCCUUAUAAUUAUUAUUAAUAUUUAUAAGCUUAGUAGCAAUUUCUUUUGUUGCCUUUUUAUUUUUUGUUUAUUUUGCCAUGUUGUCAACUAAUUUCCCAGAGAUACCAUAAAUGUUAUUCUAAUAGUUACCAUCAAUUUUUCUGAAAUGACUUUUAAUUGUUUAAAUCUAUUUGUGAUUGUAUUGAUUUCUUAUAUUUACAAGCACAUAACAAUAUUGAACCAAAAUGUUAUUAAGAAUUCUGAUGCCUUUACAAAAAAAAAGAAAAAAAAAGAAACAGAAGCAAGUUAAAUAAGCAAAAGCAAAAGUAGACAGAGACUAGCUAAUAAAUUGCAGCAGCUAAUGAAUAAUCUUCAAGCAUUAAAGAAGUCGAUAAGCAUGGAAACUGAAGCUUCAGAGUGAGGCAACACAAGUGAAUGAGAUUUCAUUGCUUGUAUGAAAGCAGAGACUUUCCCAGCGUCAAGAAAGUUAUUGCUGUGUUCUUUAGCUUCAACGGCCUGGCUGCUGCUGCUACUACUGCUGCUUGAUUCAACAACAUUAAUAAUAUUGUGGUGGCUGGAGCCAUUAUCAUUUCCCCAAAUGGUUAGACCCUUUUCACGCAGCUUGGCUAACUCACUUGUCCAUAUAUCCACAAGUGCAGACAUUAUUGUUGCUAAUUAAAUUUUGAAGAAGAUAUCUUGAGUUAAUGUUUUUGAUUGUAAGAUGUUUUGAGAUAUCAAGAUUUUGAUGGCUGAAUGGGGUUUAUAAAGGCUAUGAUCAAUUGUUGGUUUUGUUUCGAUUUUCAACGGCGCACAAAUUUUGUUGUAUAGAGCGAUCAAGUUCACACGUCUCUUUCCUGUGGGCAUUAGCCUUUAAGAUGAAGUAGUAAUUUAAAUAUGGAUCCCUCUAAGUUACAUGCAUGUACCUUACAACCCUCUCACAUAAAUAGUGAGUGAGAUACUAUUCAUGUGAGAGGGUUGUAAGGUACAUACAUGUAACUUAGCAUUAGCCUUUAAAUAUAUCAUUUUCGAUGGGGACAUGGGCAUGCCUCAAUACCGCAGCAAAGUUAGUGGUAUGUGUCAAUUUUAAAAUUGUAUAAUAAUUUCAAGAUAAUCAAAGUGGCUAAAACCAAUGUCAAUCACUCUCUUAAAUCCUAUGUGGGUUACAAAAUUCACUCCAUUUUCUUUUAAUAUAAUUGUUAGCGAAAAUAUUUCAAAAGGUUUCUUAGACUAUUACAUGAUGGGCACCCAAAAUCAAUUUCAAGUUUUGCCUAUAGAGUGAAACUUUUGAUAUCUUUUGAAAUCCUUAUAAAACUCUUCUAUUAAAACCUUAUUUAGUAUUAAAGUGUUAUAUUUUUUAAACUAUAAUUAUUGUAAAAAAAUUAUAACUUAAAAAUAAAAGUUAAUAUUGUAUCGUAAAUAUGAUUCACAAAUAGUGAAUCAAAUCAACUUUAUUUUUAAGCUACAAUAGUAAGUGCUGUAAUUUUUAAGCUAUUGCCCCCUAAUCUCUAAACCAAAUAAGGCCUAAGUGUGUUCCAUUAACGUUACAUAAGUAACCCACUCAUAAAUAUACCCAUUUUUAUUCUGCAAAUAUCCUUCAUUCUUAUGUCAACAGGUGAAAAUGAUUCUGAUUCUCUCUCCAUCCAUGUAAUAUUUUUAGAAAUAGUCGUCAAUCAAUCCUCACUUACACUAUAUUUGAACCAAUCGAAAUUGUGAGGCCCUCCUUUCCUUGCAUUAUCUGAUUUUUGGCAUCUCAUCUACCUAAGUCUUUUUUUUCUUUUUCUAUCCUUUUCCUUUAAUCAACGGAAAUUUUAAAAAAAGAAAAACGGGACGUUCACUGUUUUGUAAAGCAAUUUUCGAGGGUAAAAAUAUCAAUAUAUCUAGAAUUGGGACUUUAAAAGGAUUAUAGAGGGGUGGUAAUAGCACCACUCUUACCUAAAAUGAAUUAGGCCCAAUGGUUUCUCUCAUCCAAGAUCUUGUUUUAUUAUUAUUAAAAAGGCCUGGAAACCUUACCCGUGACAACCCCGUCACAAAAUUACCCUAUUACAGGAUUCUGCUAGCUACGUCCUGAUUUGUUUUCUAUCGAUCAUUCAGUGAACAAAUAAUUGAACACGUGUCCAAUGUUGGUGCCCAAAGUUGAAAUGAGGGCUAAUGAAUUUUCUUUUUAUCAGUUUUUUUAAUAUUCUUUCAUUGGGAUAACUAUAUUUAUUUAUUGUUAUUGCAUUUGUGAACAUUGCUUUAUUUUUUUUUCUUAUAAGUUAUGUGCUCUAUAAUCCCAUUCUAUUUCAUAUGACACGUGUUAAUUAAAUUUUCUCCUUAGGCAGAGUUUAGAUUUUGGUUUAGUUAAUGUUUUCAAUUAAAAUCAUUAAUGAUAAAAAUCUUAAGAUUCAAUGCGAAAAAAAUACUGCCUGUAUAUAUAUCUUCACAUAUUUGUGAACUCAUAAAAAUCUCUUUAACGUGAUAUUGCUUUUAAUUCCAUGCAAAUCAAAUUUUCUAGAUUAAAGUUUAUUCACAUCAAUGACAAAAAAUUAACUCUAUGAUUUAAUUUCCCCAUUACCAUGAUGUUUAUCUUUUCUAUCGGAUUAUUAUUACUUAACAAAGUCUUUAAAAUGUCGAUAUACAUUUUUCACCAGGGCAAAAUUUGUUCACUAGUAAGUGGUAAAAUUUAAUUUGAUUCAUGAUUUAGCUUCUUUUAGUUUGCUGAUUAAUUGUGCGAUUUCAACGAUGUUAAUUUUUUUUUUUCUCCAUUGAAACUCCAUCGUAGGAAUCAGAUGAAGAUUCUGUUUGAGAUUGAGAUACUGUAACUUUUAAGUUACAACUGUUAAGGAAAAAAAGCUGAAACUAUGAAAUAAAAAUUAGUAGUAUAUAGUAAACAUAAACUUUAAAUAAUAAUUUUGAAAAAAUUAUUAAAGAUAUAAUAGAUUUUCUAUCAUACAAGUAAAAAAUCAUAUUAAGUGAAAAAUCAUAUUAACAUAUCUUCAAAUCUAAAGCAGCUAAUGUUUAUCAAACACUUUAAUGCUGUAACUUUUAAGCUACAAUUGCCCAACCUUAAUUUCAAACGGAUCCGAAAUCAAUGAUAUCAAAUUGGCUACACAGCUUUCUGCUCUUGAUCUCAAUGUGGACGGAAAAAAGCAUGGAGAAGUUGCUAACUAAUAACUUUUUUUUGCUAAUUAAUAUUUUUUUUAGCUAAUGAAAACAUUAGCUAAUUAAUUAAUCAUUAUAUAUAUACAUGCAGUCACAGAUGAAAUGAAGAACUUGCUAGAGCUAUCAUAGAAAGCCUCAAAAUCAUCUUCAAAUUCAAAAGGCAGUGGAUUAUUGGAAAAUUAAGAUAAAUUUUUUGAUAAAUUGAAGAAUUUUUCACAAUUAAUUAUUAACUAAAAGUUAAUUUUACAUGAAAUUUUUGAAUGUAUGACUUCACAUUAAUUGAUUAUUCCACGUCUUGGUUCACGUCUAGAGAAGCUCAGGUACAAUAGAUUGUGAUGUUUGCAAUAAGGAGGUAAGUACAUAUAUAACAAAGACUGGUGGGGUCUAAGUGUCAUUUUCCUAAAAUUAAUUUGUUUCGGUUCAAAUUUCAACAAUACUAAAAUAUGGGCAAAAUUAUGUUGCAACAGUAGUAUGGUACCACAGUUGCAACCAGCCAUUGGAUUUAUAGUUGUACAAUUGUAUUAGCAAGAUCCAAUGGCUGAAAGCAACAAUGAUACUGUACCACUGUUGCAACAUAGCUGGACCCCUAAAAUAUUAUUACGUUUUCAAACAGUUAUAGCCAAGCAUGAAUUAUUGUGACCAUGAGCUUUGGAAUCUGCGUUUUUGCUACGACCAUUUUAGUGAUGGAAAAUGCUGAGUCUCAAGAAGAACAAGAGAAAGACGAGAGAAUGAAGCAUGUGCUGAGAGAAGAGAGAGAGAGAAAAAGCUGACAGAAGAGAGAGAGAGGAGGCAAAACGGCAGCUUGGAUUGUAGUUUCUCUCGUCUUUCUCUCGUUCUUCUUGAUAUUUAGCAGCACUCGAUGGGACUCAUGUCUGCUGCGGAUGCAUUUGAGUCUUAAUAAGUUGACGACUUAAAUUUGGGUGCAUUUGAUUGAAGAUGUAUGUAUGUAUGUAUGUAUAUAAAAGACGCAUAUACACUUCAAAAAUUUUUAAAAAUAAAAAAUGUUUCUAUUUUUGACUUCGUAUUAAAAGCAAAACAUAUACAAUAAAAUUUAAGAUUUAAAUCUUGUUCAUACCAAAGUUAAUUUUAAUAAAAAUAAAAUUCUCUAAGUAGUGUAGCGAUCGAAUUUACAAUAUUUUUAUCUAGGUGAUGGUCGAACAAUCAGGACUGGUUGUUAUUCUACAUCGAUCAAAUACACACAACCAAUUGAACCUCUUCUAAAUAAUGUGCUGCGAUGAAAAAGGCAUGAAAAUUGAGGAGCAAGUUCCCGUUUUCUCGGUUACAAGAAUUAAGAUGAGGAGACAUGCAAGUCAAGGCUUGGGGUAACUAUUUCAAUAUAUAUCAAUGAUUUUAUUCAUUUCUUUUUGCAUUAUUUUACGUGGAAAGAAUUUAAAGUCAUUAUAUUAAUUCAAUUAUGCCAAAAUAAAAAUCUAUUAUUGAGGUGUAAUACUUUUACAGGUUAACUAGAUUUUUUUCUUUUUUGGUCUUUACCGCAUAUAAAUGAUUUAUGAUUAAUGUUGCAGUCAAUACUAUUCUUUCUUUUCUUGUUUAGCAUCCUUGUGGAUUCUAUUCCGAAUUAAAGUAUUUAUUUAAAACUGAAUUAUAUAUGUAUUGACCUCUUACUUUCAUUAAAAGAGAAAAAAAAUUGAAUUAGUAUUUCGAUAUUUGGAGCUAAUACUUGCAUAUGUUUGUAUAUAUUUUGCUCUAAAUGAAGGAAAUAUUUUCGAAAUUUACUUAAACCAUUAUCUACUACUUGUGGAAACAGCCUAUUCAUCCAAAUGCCAUUGUAUUUGGACUAACUCAUGUACUUCCAUAUGGUAGUGUCGAUCUCCGAAGCGCAAGUAACUUUAUCAAUUUAUUUUUUCUUUAAUUUCUUGAAAAUGGUAUACAUAUGUAGAUGUCAUCUUAUUCAAAUGCUUGUAAACGAACUUGAAUUGAAACCAUAAAAAAAAAAAAAAAACAAUGUUACUUGAUAACAAUCAAAUGAUGCUUUGGAUUAACUUUUCUUGCAUUUAAUAAUGCUCCCUCAUUUUGUCGAGGUAACUUUUUUUUUGAAAAAAUGUUACGUGGGUUUAGCAAAGAAUUAAAUAAAAGGAUGAUAUAAAAAAAUGAGACAGAGAAUUUACGUGAUUUAGCACUUGGUUUAUGUCCAUGAGUACUAUAAAAAGAGUAAUUUUUCACUAUUGAAUUAAAAUUAUAACAAAGUAUUUUUUUUUUUGGUCUAACUACUUGCUCGUGCCCCCUUAUGCAUCAAGUGUUCUUUAUUUAUAAUACAAUUCCAAUUUCCUGAGUUCUCCACGAUUCCUUGUUUUGAUCGGCUUUUAUUACUUAAUUUAGAGUAUCGUCCAAUAUCAGUAUUAUCUCCAUCUAAACUUGAGCUUUAUCUAAUAUUAAUACUUAUUUUCAGCACUUUCUCCCUUUUUAAUUGGGUUUAGGUUUCAGGAGCUUGUAGAUUCUUUUACUAGUCUUAGAUAAUGCUUCCAACUACCUAAUCCUAAUUGUUGGAUUCAGUAGCUAGGCAUUUUUUUAAUUAUACUCACCUCCCAUAGUUGAUCUCUCAUGCUAUCAUGUACCCGAGCUUAAUUGACUUUUUAAGCUUCCUAUUGAGCUUGCAUGCUCCCAUUCUCACAUGCUCUUAUGCUCAUGUGCUCGCAUGCUCACAUGCUCUCAUACUCUCGUACUCUCAUGAAGCUCAGUUUAAUUGACUUAUUAAGCUUCCUAUUGAGCUUGCAUCUCUCAUGGUCUCAUGCUUUCAUGCUCUAAUGCUAGCAUGCUUAUAUGCUCUCAUGCUUUCAUGUAGUUGAGCUUAAUUGACUUAUUAAGUUUUCUAUUGAGCUCUCCUGCUCCCAUGCUCACUUGCUCUCAUAGUCUCAUGCUCACAUUAUUUGACUGGUUACAUUUCUUCUUAGAACAAUAUUAAAAUAUAAUUUUUAUUUUAUUUUAAUUGAAUCCGUAUUUUAAAAGAUGUGGACAAUUCUUAUUAUAAGAUAACCGCUAGAUUAAUAUUAGCACCGCAAUCCUAACGUCACCGGAAUAAUUUCACAUGCGUUAAAAUGUGGGAAAGUAAGAGAAAUCUUUAAAAUCCUGCGGUUUUAAAGUGUUAAUUUCAUAAUGUUUUAAAACCGUGCGAUUUUAAAAUUUUCUCGUACUUUCUCGCAUUUUAAAUUCUGGACUAGGAAACUACUAUAUAUAUAUGUGAGUGUGUGUAUGCAUAUAUAUACAUAAAAUUCUUCACUAGGGGAAGACACACACACACACACACACAAGCUCUUCACUAAGGGGAAGACAAGUUAUUUUGGAGGAAAAGGAUUAUCAAGUAACUGGACGCAAAGCGCGACAACAAUGGCUCUAUAUGGUUUGCCCAUGUAAAUACUAUAUCCGUCUUAACUUUACUAAUUUAACCUUAACUAAGUUUUUUUGAAGUGUAUAUAUAAUUGUCAUCGUACAGACAAUUAAUUAAUUGAAUGUUUGUAAAAUGUACUCGAUAUUUCAUUAUUUUAAUUUUUGAGAAUCAAACUUACAGGUACAUGACCGGCGGGGUUUUGGCUCAUGAAAUGAUGCAUGCAUGGUUUGGAAUUCAAGGUCAGACUUAAUAAUAUUAUUAUUAACUUCAUAGCAACUAGGGGUUCAGCUAAUAUGACAUAGAAAGCAUAUAGGAUAGAAUAUAGGAAUUCUAGAUUUUGUGUCAAUUUUCUAUUUUAUUAGGAUUUAUCUUAUUUUAAUAAGCUUAUUUGAGUCAUAUUUGUAAUUCUAGUCUAAUUAGAAUUUUAGAUUAUUUCUUUCAUUUGAGAAGUAUUGGGAUGAAGUUAGCAAUAAAAAUAUAUAGGCUUGUUAUUAAUAGUUUAUUGUAACAUUUUUAAGCUUUUCAUCAAGAAAUAUUUUAGAUUAUUCUCCUUGAGUUUAUCUUUUUCGUUAAUUCAACGUUUUCUCUCUUUGAGAGCUAUUAUUUCUUGAGUUUCAAAAACGUAUAAUAGAACGAUAUCCAAUGUCGGUUUCAGACAAGUGGCAUCAGGGCCUUUCUCUAUGUCAAGCUGCGCUUUCAUGAUCAUCAACUACAUACACAAAUCCUUCCUCUGUCAUCCAUUAAAUCCACCGAUUCCACCAAUUCCUAUAUGCUUCCUACAUCAUAAUGAAAUGAUGCAUGCAUGGUUUGGAAUUUAAGGUCAGCCUUAAUAAUAUUAUUAUUAGCUUCAUAGCAACUAGGGGUUUAUCUAACGAAAUGAUGCAUUCAUGGUUUGGAAUAAUCCAAGGUCAGCCUUAAUAAUAUUAUUAUUCGCUUCAUAGCAUCUAGGGUUUAAGCUAAUGAAAAAAUGAUGCAUGCAUGUUUUGGAAUUCAAGAUUAGCCUUAAAAAUAUUAUUAUUAGCUUCAUAGCAACUAGGGUUUAAGCUAAUGAAAGAUGCGUGCAUGGUUUGGAAUUCAAAGUUAGCCUUAAAAAUAUUAUUAGUUUCAUAGCAACUAGGGGUUUAUCUAACAAAAUGAUGCAUUCAUGGUUUGGAAUAAGUGAAGGUCAGCCUUAAUAAUAUUAUUAUUAGCUUCAUAGCAACUAGGGUUUAUGCUAAUGAAAAAAUGAUGCAUGCAUGGUUUGGAAUUCAAGGUUAGCCUUAAAAAUAUUAUUAUUAGCUUCGUAGGGUUUAAGCUAAUGAAAUGAUGCAUGCAUGGUUUGGAAGUCAAGGUCAGCCUUAUAAUUAUUAUUAACAUUUAUUAGCUUAGUAACCAUUAAAUUCGAUUCCUCUCUAUCAUUACUUGCCCCGACUCUUUCUCUCUCAAUCUGUGAAUCUCUCAUCAUGUCGACGACUCUGCAAUUCUGCCGUCUAUGCACGCGUACUGACACAGCUUCGCGCCAUAAUAAUCGCGCCAGAGUGCUGGCUCUCCGGCGCCGGCAGCCUGUGAACGUCAGAAGCUCCGGUCAAGAAUUGCCGAGCUCGGCGGUGGCUGUUGGUGCCCAAUUUGACGCGAAACAAUUUCGUCAUAACCUGAUGAGAAGUGAUAAGUAUAAUCGGAGAGGAUUUGGCCACAAAGAAGAGACUACGGAGCUCAUGAAUCAACAGUACGCAAGUAAGAUUUUCAUUUUUUUCUGUUUAAAUCAAUUUUUUUACUGGAUUUUCUUUUGUUUAUUCAGUAGGACAUGAAAUUGUUGUUACUUAAAUUUCUUUAUUUUAGCUAAUUAUUCAGCUUAGUUUUAAAUGGAUAGAUUCAGGAAUAAAAAUAAAAAUAAAAAAUCAAAGAAAUUUGUGUGAUUUUUACUUCCUCUGCUUGCUAUUCAAUGACCUUUUUUUUUUGGUUUUUACCAUUUCAUUUAAGAAAGCUGGAUCAAUCAAUGAUUUAUCUUUUGUUGGACUCAUCAUCAGUUUGUGAAUAACAAAUGUUUAGAGAGAUUUGGUGAAAUCAAGUGUUUCUAUUUGGCGUUGGUGUUAUUGUGGUGAUGAUUAUUUUAUUGAUUUCAUUGAAAAUUCUUUCAGGUGAUAUUAUAAAGAAAUUGAAGGAGAAUGGAUACGAGUAUACGUGGGGAAAUGCUACGGUGAAGCUGGCCGAAGCAUAUGGCUUUUGCUGGGGAGUUGAGCGUGCUGUGCAGAUUGCUUAUGAAGCAAGAAAACAGUUUCCCGAUGAGAAGAUCUGGAUCACCAGUGAAAUCCUUCACAGUCCACCCAUCAAUAAGGUCUUUAAAAAACAAAACCAAUACUUCUUUUAUAAUAUUUUUAAUUUAAAUAUUUUUGCGCCCUGCUGUUUGUUAAGUUGAUCAUUUACUCAUUUUCAUGGUUAUGGAUUGUAAAGAGUAGAUCUGUAUUGAUGAAACUGUUACGCUCUUUGUUUCAAUCAUGAUUUGAUUCUUUCAUUACUAUAUCCUACUAAAAUGAUUACUGAGGCUCUUAAGUCAUACAUGGCAGCGGUUGGAGGAGAUGGAAGUUAAAAAUAUACCUGUUGAGGAAGGAAAGAAGCAAUUUGAUGUGGUAAAUAAGGGUGAUGUUGUGGUUUUGCCUGCAUUUGGGGCUGCAGUCGAA